AUACGUAGGGAGCGAGCGUUGUCCGGAUUUACUGGGUGUAAAGGGUGCGUAGGCGGGUCUGCAAGUCAGACGUGAAAUAACGGGGCUUAAAACCGGGGCUGCGUUUGAAACUGUAGAUCUUUAGUGUAGUAGAAGUAAGCGGAAUUCCUAGUGUAGCGGUGAAAUGCGUAGAUAUUAGGAGGAACACCAGUGGCGAAGGCGGCUUACUGGGCUUUAACUGACGCUGAGGCACGAAAGCGUGGGGUGCAAACAGGAUUAGAUACCCUGGUAGUCCACGCUGUAAACGAUGAUUGCUAGGUGUGGGGGGUCUGAUCCCCUCCGUGCCGGAGUUAACACAAUAAGCAAUCCACCUGGGGAGUACGACCGCAAGGUUGAAACUCAAAGGAAUUGACGGGG
rnacentral:rRNA from 1 species